AUUGUACUCCCUCCAUCCGAAAAUACUUGUCAUCAAAAUGGAUAAAAAGAGAUGUAUAUACAUCUCUUUUUAUCCAUUUUGAUGACUACAUCUCUUUUUAUUUGAUGACUACAUCUCUUUUUAUCCAUUUUGAUGACAAGUAUUUUCGGACGGAGGGAGUACGUG
rfam:Triticum aestivum genome assembly, contig: Triticum_aestivum_CS42_TGACv1_scaffold_640847_T_5DL-0.213335_1BL-0.131908